GUGGGGAAUAUUGCACAAUGGACGCAAGUCUGAUGCAGCGACGCCGCGUGGGGGAUGAAGGCUUUCGGGUUGUAAACUCCUUUCAGUACAGAAGAAGCAUUUUUUGUGACGGUAUGUGCAGAAGAAGCGCCGGCUAACUACGUGCCAGCAGCCGCGGUAAUACGUAGGGCGCGAGCGUUGUCCGGAAUUAUUGGGCGUAAAGAGCUCGUAGGCGGUUUGUUGCGCCUGCUGUGAAAGACCGGGGCUUAACUUCGGGGUUGCAGUGGGUACGGGCAGACUAGAGUGUGGUAGGGGUAAUUGGAAUUCCUGGUGUAGCGGUGGAAUGCGCAGAUAUCAGGAGGAACACCGAUGGCGAAGGCAGGUUACUGGGCCACCACUGACGCUGAGGAGCGAAAGCGUGGGUAGCGAACAGGAUUAGAUACCCUAGUAGUCC
rnacentral:rRNA from 1 species